AGUGAACGCUGGCGGUAGGCCUAACACAUGCAAGUCGAACGGCAGCACAGUAAGAGCUUGCUCUUACGGGUGGCGAGUGGCGGACGGGUGAGGAAUAAAUCGGAAUCUACUUUUUCGUGGGGGAUAACGUAGGGAAACUUACGCUAAUACCGCAUACGACCUACGGGUGAAAGCAGGGGAUCUUCGGCCCUUGCGCGAUUGAAUGAGCCGAUGUCGGAUUAGCUCGUUGGCGGGGUAAAGGCCCACCAAGGCGACGACCCGUAGCUGGUCUGAGAGGAUGAUCAGCCACACUGGAGCUGAGACACGGUCCAGACUCCUACGGGAGGCAGCAGUGGGGAAUAUUGGACAAUGGGCGCAAGCCUGAUCCAGACAUACCGCGUGGGUGAAGAAGGCCUUCGGGUUGUAAAGCCCUUUUGUUGGGAAAGAAAAGCAGCAGGUUAAUACCCCGCUGUUCUGACGGUACCCAAAGAAUAAGCACCGGCUAACUUCGUG
rnacentral:rRNA from 1 species